UACGAAGGGGGCUAGCGUUGUUCGGAAUUACUGGGCGUAAAGCGUGCGCAGGCGGCUUCUCAAGUCAGGGGUGAAAGCCCAGAGCUCAACUCUGGAAUUGCCUUUGAGACUGAGUGGCUUGAGUACGGGAGAAGUGAGUGGAAUUCCCAGUGUAGAGGUGAAAUUCGUAGAUAUUGGGAAGAACACCGGUGGCGAAGGCGGCUCACUGGCCCGUAACUGACGCUCAUGCACGACAGCGUGGGGAUCAAACAGG
rnacentral:rRNA from 1 species